rnacentral:rRNA from 1 species
GGGUUGUGAGGUUAAGCGACUAAGCGUACACGGUGGAUGCCUAGGCAGUCAGAGGCGAUGAAGGGCGUGCUAAUCUGCGAUAAGCGUCGGUAAGCUGAUAUGAAGCGUUAUACCCGACGAUACCCGAAUGGGGAAACCCAGUGUGUUUCGACACACUAUCAUGACAUGAAUACAUAGUGUCAUGAGGCGAACCGGGGGAACUGAAACAUCUCAGUACCCCGAGGAAAAGAAAUCAACCGAGAUUCCCCCAGUAGCGGCGAGCGAACGGGGAGGAGCCCAGAACCUGAAUCAGUUUGUGUGUUAGUGGAAGCGUCUGGAAAGUCGCACAGUAAAGGGUGAUAGUCCCGUACACAAAAAUGCACAAGUUGUGAGUUCGAUGAGUAGGGCGGGACACGUGACAUCCUGUCUGAAUAUGGGGGGACCAUCCUCCAAGGCUAAAUACUCCUGACUGACCGAUAGUGAACCAGUACCGUGAGGGAAAGGCGAAAAGAACCCCGGCGAGGGGAGUGAAAUAGAACCUGAAACCGUGUACGUACAAGCAGUGGGAGCCUACUUGUUAGGUGACUGCGUACCUUUUGUAUAAUGGGUCAGCGACUUAUAUUCUGUAGCAAGGUUAACCGUAUAGGGGAGCCGCAGGGAAACCGAGUCUUAACUGGGCGUUAAGUUGCAGGGUAUAGACCCGAAACCCGGUGAUCUAGCCAUGGGCAGGUUGAAGGUUGGGUAACACUAACUGGAGGACCGAACCGACUAAUGUUGAAAAAUUAGCGGAUGACUUGUGGCUGGGGGUGAAAGGCCAAUCAAACCGGGAGAUAGCUGGUUCUCCCCGAAAGCUAUUUAGGUAGCGCCUCGUGAAUUCAUCUUCGGGGGUAGAGCACUGUUUCGGCUAGGGGGUCAUCCCGACUUACCAACCCGAUGCAAACUACGAAUACCGAAGAAUGUUAUCACGGGAGACACACGGCGGGUGCUAACGUUCGUCGUGAAGAGGGAAACAACCCAGACCGCCAGCUAAGGUCCCAAAGUCAUGGUUAAGUGGGAAACGAUGUGGGAAGGCACAGACAGCCAGGAUGUUGGCUUAGAAGCAGCCAUCAUUUAAAGAAAGCGUAAUAGCUCACUGGUCGAGUCGGCCUGCGCGGAAGAUGUAACGGGGCUAAACCAUGCACCGAAGCUGCGGCAGCGACACUUAGGUGUUGUUGGGUAGGGGAGCGUUCUGUAAGCCUGCGAAGGUGGCCUGUGAGGGCUGCUGGAGGUAUCAGAAGUGCGAAUGCUGACAUAAGUAACGAUAAUGCGGGUGAAAAACCCGCACGCCGGAAGACCAAGGGUUCCUGUCCAACGUUAAUCGGGGCAGGGUGAGUCGACCCCUAAGGCGAGGCUGAAAAGCGUAGUCGAUGGGAAACAGGUUAAUAUUCCUGUACUCGGUGUUACUGCGAAGGGGGGACGGAGAAAGCUAGGUUAUCCGGGCGACGGUUGUCCCGGUUUAAGCGUGAAGGUGGAUGACUUUGGUAAAUCCGGGUCAUCGUUAACACUGAGGCGUGAUGACGAGUCACUACGGUGAUGAAGUAACCGAUGCUACGCUUCCAGGAAAAGCCUCUAAGCUCCAGGUAACAUCAAAUCGUACCCCAAACCGACACAGGUGGUCAGGUAGAGAAUACUCAGGCGCUUGAGAGAACUCGGGUGAAGGAACUAGGCAAAAUGGUGCCGUAACUUCGGGAGAAGGCACGCUGAUGGUAGGUGAAGUGACUUGCUCAUGGAGCUGAAAUCAGUCGAAGAUACCAGCUGGCUGCAACUGUUUAAUAAAAACACAGCACUGUGCAAACACGAAAGUGGACGUAUACGGUGUGACGCCUGCCCGGUGCCGGAAGGUUAAUUGAUGGGGUCAGCCGCAAGGCGAAGCUCUUGAUCGAAGCCCCGGUAAACGGCGGCCGUAACUAUAACGGUCCUAAGGUAGCGAAAUUCCUUGUCGGGUAAGUUCCGACCUGCACGAAUGGCGUAAUGAUGGCCAGGCUGUCUCCACCCGAGACUCAGUGAAAUUGAACUCGCUGUGAAGAUGCAGUGUACCCGCGGCAAGACGGAAAGACCCCGUGAACCUUUACUAUAGCUUGACACUGAACCUUGAGCCUUGAUGUGUAGGAUAGGUGGGAGGCUUUGAAGCGUGGACGCCAGUCUGCGUGGAGCCAACCUUGAAAUACCACCCUUUAAUGUUUGAUGUUCUAACGUGGACCCGUGAUCCGGGUUGCGGACAGUGUCUGGUGGGUAGUUUGACUGGGGCGGUCUCCUCCCAAAGCGUAACGGAGGAGCACGAAGGUUAGCUAAUCCUGGUCGGACAUCAGGAGGUUAGUGCAAAGGCAUAAGCUAGCUUGACUGCGAGAGUGACAGCUCGAGCAGGUGCGAAAGCAGGUCUUAGUGAUCCGGUGGUUCUGAAUGGAAGGGCCAUCGCUCAACGGAUAAAAGGUACUCCGGGGAUAACAGGCUGAUACCGCCCAAGAGUUCAUAUCGACGGCGGUGUUUGGCACCUCGAUGUCGGCUCAUCACAUCCUGGGGCUGAAGUAGGUCCCAAGGGUAUGGCUGUUCGCCAUUUAAAGUGGUACGCGAGCUGGGUUUAGAACGUCGUGAGACAGUUCGGUCCCUAUCUGCCGUGGGCGUUGGAAGAUUGAGAGGGGUUGCUCCUAGUACGAGAGGACCGGAGUGAACGCACCACUGGUGUACGGGUUGUGAUGCCAAUUGCAUUGCCCGGUAGCUAAGUGCGGAAGAGAUAACCGCUGAAAGCAUCUAAGCGGGAAACUUGCCUCGAGAUGAGUCUUCCCUGGGCACUUGAUGCCCCUGAAGGGCCGUUGAAGACGACGACGUAGAUAGGCUGGGUGUGUAAGCGUAGCGAUACGUUGAGCUAACCAGUACUAAUGACCCGAGAGGCUUAACCUUACAACACCGAAGGUGUUU